AGUGAACGCUGGCGGUAGGCCUAACACAUGCAAGUCGAACGGCAGCACAGUAAGAGCUUGCUCUUACGGGUGGCGAGUGGCGGACGGGUGAGGAAUACAUCGGAAUCUACUUUUUCGUGGGGGAUAACGUAGGGAAACUUACGCUAAUACCGCAUACGACCUACGGGUGAAAGCAGGGGAUCUUCGGACCUUGCGCGAUUGAAUGAGCCGAUGUCGGAUUAGCUAGUUGGCGGGGUAAAGGCCCACCAAGGCGCCGAUCCGUAGCUGGUCUGAGAGGAUGGUAGGCCACACUGGAACGGAGACACGGUCCAGACUCCUACGGGAGGCAGCAGUGGGGAAUAUUGGGCAAUGGGGGCAAGCCUGGUCCAGCCAUACCGAGUGGGUGAGGAAGGCCUUCGGGUUGUAAAGCCCUUUUGUUGGGAAAGAAAAGCAGCAGGUUAAUACCCCGCUGUUCUGACGGUACCCAAAGAAUAAGCACCGGCUAACUUCGUG
rnacentral:rRNA from 1 species